rnacentral:rRNA from 1 species
GCGUCGUCUUCAGAGUUUGAUCCUGGCUCAGGACGAACGCUGGCGGCGUGCCUAACACAUGCAAGUCGAACGGGGUAAGAGACUUCGGUUUUUUACUUAGUGGCGAACGGGUGAGUAACGCGUGAGGAACCUGCCUUUCAGUGGGGGACAACAGUUGGAAACGACUGCUAAUACCGCAUAAUGUUUUUGAACCGCAUGGUUUAAGAACCAAAGCUUUAUGUGCUGAAAGAUGGCCUCGCGUCUGAUUAGCUAGUUGGUGGGGUAACGGCCCACCAAGGCGACGAUCAGUAGCCGGUCUGAGAGGACGAACGGCCACAUUGGGACUGAGAUACGGCCCAG